rnacentral:rRNA from 1 species
GACGAACGCUGGCGGCGUGCUUAACACAUGCAAGUCGAACGGAAAGGCCCUGCUUUUGUGGGGUGCUCGAGUGGCGAACGGGUGAGUAACACGUGAGUAACCUGCCCUUGACUUUGGGAUAACUUCAGGAAACUGGGGCUAAUACCGGAUAGGAGCUCCUGCUGCAUGGUGGGGGUUGGAAAGUUUCGGCGGUUGGGGAUGGACUCGCGGCUUAUCAGCUUGUUGGUGGGGUAGUGGCUUACCAAGGCUUUGACGGGUAGCCGGCCUGAGAGGGUGACCGGCCACAUUGGGACUGAGAUACGGCCCAGACUCCUACGGGAGGCAGCAGUGGGGAUUAUUGCACAAUGGGCGGAAGCCUGAUGCAGCAACGCCGCGUGCGGGAUGACGGCCUGCGGGUUGUAACCCGCUUUCGCCUGUGACGAAGCGUGAGUGACGGUAAUGGGUAAAGAAGCACCGGCUAACUACGUG